UACGUAGGGGGCAAGCGUUGUCCGGAUUUACUGGGUGUAAAGGGUGCUCAGGUGGUCUGAUAAGUCAGAGGUGAAAGCCCAGGGCUCAACCCUGGAACUGCCUUUGAUACUAUCAGGCUUGAGUAUGGAAGAGGUUGAUGGAAUUUCUGGUGUAGCAGUGAAAUGCGUAGAUAUCAGGAAGAACACCUAUGGCGAAGGCAGCUCUCUGGGACGGUACUGACGCUGAGACGCGAAAGCGUGGGGAGCGAACAGG
rnacentral:rRNA from 1 species